GGUCCACUGCUCAGUUGGUAAAGCACAAGGCUCUUAACCUUGUGGACGUGGAUUCAAGCCCCAAGAUGGGGGUCA
rnacentral:tRNA from 1 species